GAAAUGCGAAAAGUAAUGCGAAUUGCAGAAUUCAGCGAGUCAUCGAGUUUUUGAACGCACAUUGCGCCCGCCGGUAUUCCGGCGGGCAUGCCUGUCCGAGCGUCAUCUACACCCUCAAGCUCUGCUUGGUGUUGGGCGUCUGUCCCGCCUACGUGCGCGGACUCGCCCCAAAUUCAUUGGCAGCGGUCCUUGCCUCCUCUCGCGCAGCACAUUGCGCUUCUCGAGGUGCGCGGCCCGCGUCCACGAAGCAACAUUACCGUCUUUGACCUCGGAUCAGGUAGGGAUACCCGCUGAACUUAAGC
rnacentral:misc_RNA from 1 species